rfam:Ciona savignyi cont_32892, whole genome shotgun sequence.
GCACAUCGGCUUAGCUGACCCUUGCGAUUACCCCAAAUGUGGGUAACUCGGUCGUAUAAUUUCUGGUAGUGGGGACUGCGUUCGCGCUAUCCCCGU